UACCAGCACCUCGAGUGGUCAGGACGUUUAUUGGGCCUAAAGCAUCCGUAGCCGGCUUUGCAAGUCUUCGGUUAAAUCCACCUGCUCAACAGAUGGGCCGCUGGAGAUACUACAAAGCUAGGGAGUGGGAGAGGCAGACGGUAUUCAGUGGGUAGGGGUAAAAUCCUCUGAUCCAUUGAGGCCCGCCAGUGGCGAAGGCGGUCUGCCGGAACACGUUCGACGGUGAGGGAUGAAAGCUGGGGGAGCAAACCGG
rnacentral:rRNA from 1 species